GACGAAUGCUGGCUGCGUGCUUAACACAUGCAAGUCGAACGGUGAAAGGGAGCUUGCUCCCUGGAUCAGUGGCGAACGAGUGAGUAACACGUGGGCAACCUGCCCCUCACUCUGGGAUAACUCCGGGAAACCGGGGCUAAUACCGGAUACGACCUGGUGCGACAUCGCACCGGGUGGAAAGAACUUCGGUGAGGGAUGGGCCCGCGGCCUAUCAGCUUGUUGGGGGGGUAACGGCCCACCACGGCGACGACGGGUAGCCGGCCUGGGAGGGCGACCGGCCACAAUGGGACGGAGCAACGGCCCAGACUCCUGCGGGAGGCAGCAGUGGGGAAUAUUGCGCAAUGGGCGAAAGCCUGACGCAGCGACGAAGCGUGAGGGACGAAGGCCUUCGGGUUGUAAACCUCUUUCAGCGGGGACGAAGCGAAAGUGACGGUACCCGCAGCAGAAGCACCGGCUAACUACGUGCAAGCAGCCGCCGUAGAAC
rnacentral:rRNA from 1 species